rnacentral:rRNA from 1 species
UGGGGAAUAUUGCACAAUGGGCGCAAGCCUGAUGCAGCCAUGCCGCGUGUGUGAAGAAGGCCUUCGGGUUGUAAAGCACUUUCAGCGAGGAGGAAGGUGGUGAGCUUAAUACGCUUAUCAAUUGACGUUACUCGCAGAAGAAGCACCGGCUAACUCCGUGCCAGCAGCCGCGGUAAUACGGAGGGUGCAAGCGUUAAUCGGAAUUACUGGGCGUAAAGCGCACGCAGGCGGUUUGUUAAGUCAGAUGUGAAAUCCCCGGGCUCAACCUGGGAACUGCAUUUGAAACUGGCAAGCUAGAGUCUCGUAGAGGGGGGUAGAAUUCCAGGUGUAGCGGUGAAAUGCGUAGAGAUCUGGAGGAAUACCGGUGGCGAAGGCGGCCCCCCUGGACGAAGACUGACGCUCAGGUGCGAAAGCGUGGGGCAGCAAACAGGAUUAGAUACCCUGGUAGUCCACGCUGUAAAACGAUGUCGAUUUGGAGGUUGUGCCCUUGAGGCGUGGCUUCCGGAGCUAACGCGUUAAAUCGACCGCCUGGGGAGUACGGCCGCAAGGUUAAAACUCAAAGGAAUUGAC